UACGUAGGUCCCGAGCGUUGUCCGGAUUUAUUGGGCGUAAAGCGAGCGCAGGUGGUUUAUUAAGUCUGGUGUAAAAGGCAGUGGCUCAACCAUUGUAUGCAUUGGAAACUGGUAGACUUGAGUGCAGGAGAGGAGAGUGGAAUUCCAUGUGUAGCGGUGAAAUGCGUAGAUAUAUGGAGGAACACCGGUGGCGAAAGCGGCUCUCUGGCCUGUAACUGACACUGAGGCUCGAAGGCGUGGGUAUCGAACAGG
rnacentral:rRNA from 1 species